AGGAUGAACGCUGGCGGCGUGCCUAACACAUGCAAGUCGAACGUCCUGUCUCGCAAGAGGCAGGGAGUGGCGCACGGGUGCGUAACGCGUAGCCAACCUACCCACAUCUGGGGGAUAGCCCGCCGAAAGGCGGAUUAAUACCGCAUAAGACAGCGGAGCGGCAUCGCUUGGUUGUUAAAGAUUUAUUGGAUGUGGAUGGGGCUGCGUGCCAUUAGCUAGUUGGGGGGUAACGCCACCAAGGCGACGAUGGCUA
rnacentral:rRNA from 1 species